rnacentral:rRNA from 1 species
AACGAACGCUGGCGGCAUGCCUAACACAUGCAAGUCGAACGAGACCUUCGGGUCUAGUGGCGCACGGGUGCGUAACGCGUGGGAACCUGCCCUUAGGUUCGGAAUAACUCCCCGAAAGGGGUGCUAAUACCGGAUAAUGUCUUCGGACCAAAGAUUUAUCGCCUUUGGAUGGGCCCGCGUUGGAUUAGCUAGUUGGUAGGGUAAAAGCCUACCAAGGCGACGAUCCAUAGCUGGUAUGAGAGGAUGAUCAGCCACACUGGGACUGAGACACGGCCCAGACUCCUACGGGAGGCAGCAGUGGGGAAUAUUGGACAAUGGGCGAAAGCCUGAUCCAGCAAUGCCGCGUGAGUGAUGAAGGCCUUAGGGUUGUAAAGCUCUUUUACCCGGGAUGAUAAUGACAGUACCGGGAGAAUAAGCUCCGGCUAACUCCGU